AGCUAGGUCAGCAGCUGUUCUGCCUGAAGGAUCUUUGGAACAUGGAUCAACUAAUGCAGCAGGAUCCGCACCAAGAGAGACAAGGAAAGCAACUGUGCGCUCUCUGAUAAAGCAUGUUCAAACAAGAAGUCAACAGAAAGAGAAGGCUUUCAUGGCAUACAUAGUUCUCUGCAAUAUAUUCAUUAUAAGAAAUAGGUGUUUUUCCCUUUUCUUCUCAUAUGAGAUUCAGCCUGAAUGUGGUGUCCUCUAAACUGGAAGGCAGAUCAAAGAAUAGAACAGAAGUAUCCAAGGCAAAGUUUACUACAAAGAAGCAAGCAAGAAAUCGUAAGUGCUCACCUGCCACAAAAUGCUGCCCAAUGAAGUGCAGUCCAUCCAUUCACAUCACGGAAAUUGACACUGACACCUGCAAUAAUAGUUGGUUCUAGGGCCCAAUCAUAGCCAAGAGAAGCUGCUAAAUGUAGCACACCUUGGCCACCCUCAUCUAAUACAGAAGGGCCUUUUCCAUCUUCUGCUUCUUUCUGAAGGAGCCAUACAUGCAACUUCUCUUUCAGUAGCUUUUUAAGGAGCUUUUCCUGUACUUUUUUAGAAGAGAAAUCCUUCUCAGAAGCAAGCUCUAAUAUUUGAUGCCAUUCUUUUUUUUGAUUAAUAAUAACAUUUAGCAUUUGAUCC